rnacentral:rRNA from 1 species
AUUGAACGCUGGCGGCAGGCCUAACACAUGCAAGUCGAGCGGAUGAAGGGAGCUUGCUCCUGGAUUCAGCGGCGGACGGGUGAGUAAUGCCUAGGAAUCUGCCUGGUAGUGGGGGAUAACGUCCGGAAACGGGCGCUAAUACCGCAUACGUCCUGAGGGAGAAAGUGGGGGAUCUUCGGACCUCACGCUAUCAGAUGAGCCUAGGUCGGAUUAGCUAGUUGGUGGGGUAAAGGCCUACCAAGGCGACGAUCCGUAACUGGCCUGAGAGGAUGAUCAGUCACACUGGAACUGAGAUACGGUCCAGACUCCUACGGGAGGCAGCAGUGGGGAAUAUUGGACAAUGGGCGAAAGCCUGAUCCAGCCAUGCCGCGUGUGUGAAGAAGGUCUUCGGAUUGUAAAGCACUUUAAGUUGGGAGGAAGGGCAGUAAGUUAAUACCUUGCUGUUUUGACGUUACCAACAGAAUAAGCACCGGCUAACUUCGUG